GGGGCCGACCGGCUUUGACAGCGGGUUGGAGUUUCAAGCAAGCAUGUCGUGCCAUGGAAAAAUGCACGUUAAUCAGCUUUCCAAACUAUAAAUGGCGAAAAUAACUACGCUCUCGCUGCUUAAUUCACAGAAGUGAAUUUCGCUUAAUCCCGCACCAGGUGUGGGACGAGGACACUUCUCUCCUGCUCCGCCCGUUAGUGGGAGAUCCAGAGGUGCCGAGCUUUCGGGAUAAGCGGUCCGGCGUUUCGGAGGAUCGACGAAAAACUUUAGAAACUAAGCGCAAAAUUGGAGGUUGCAUUCCGGCUUUGCGACGAAAAUCAAUUUGCAAAUAAACAUGUAGAAACCUUGCGGCUUCCCUGAUUGGACGAGGGUUCGACUCCCUCCGGCUCCACCC
rnacentral:tmRNA from 1 species